rnacentral:rRNA from 1 species
GAUGAACGCUGGCGGCGUGCCUAAUACAUGCAAGUCGAGCGAACAGAUAAGGGGCUUGAGCCUUUGACGUUAGAGGCGGACGGGUGAGUAACCCGUGGGUAACCUAACUAUAAGACUGGGCUAACUUCAGGAAACCGGAGCUAAUACCGGAUAAAAGUUGGAACCGCAUGGUUCUAAAGUGAAAGAUGGUUUUGCUAUCACUUAUAGAUGGCCCCGCACCGUAUUAACUAGUUGGUAAGGUAACGGCUUAACAAGGCUACGAUACUUAGACGACCUGAGAGGGUGAUCGGCCACACUGUAAGUGAGACACGGUCCACACUCCUACGGUGAGCAACAGUAGGGAAUCUUCCGGGAGGGACGAGAGCCUGACGGUGCAACGUGGGGUCAGUGAUGAUGGGUCCCGGCUCGGUGAGCGAUGUUAGUAGUAGAGUUGUAAAGCGUAAUUAACUGUGCACGUCCUGACGGUACCUAAGCAGAAAGCCACGGCUAACUACGUG